CGUACCUUUUGUAUAAUGGGUCAGCGACUUAAUCUGUCAUGCAAGCUUAAGCCAGUAUAGGUGUAGGCGUAGCGAAAGCGAGUCUUAACAGGGCGUUUAGUAUGGCGGAUUAGACCCGAAACCGGAUGAUCUAGUUAUGGCCAGGUUGAAGGUGAGGUAACACUCACUGGAGGACCGAACACACUAAUGUUGAAAAAUUAGGUGAUGAGCUGUGACUAGGGGUGAAAGGCCAAUCAAAUCCGGAUAUAGCUGGUUCUCCACGAAAUCUAUUUAGGUAGAGCGUCAUAUGUUUACCUUCGGGGGUAGAGCACUGUAUAGGCUAGGGGGUCCAAAAGACUUACCAAACCUUAACAAACUCCGAAUACCGAAGAGUAUAGUAUGGCAGACAGACAGCGGGUGCUAAGGUCCGUUGUCGAGAGGGAAACAGCCCAGACCGUCGUCUAAGGUCCCAAAAUUAUUGCUAAGUGGUAAAGGAAGUGAUUAGACCAAAACAACCAGGAGGUUGGCUUAGAAGCAGCCAUCCUUUAAAGAAAGCGUAAUAGCUCACUGGUCUAAAUAAGUCUUUUUGCGCCGAAAAUGUAACGGGGCUCAAGCAAUAUACCGAAGACACGGAUUUGCAAUUUAUUGCAAGUGGUAGUGGAGCGUUGUGUAAGUCUGUGAAGGUGAAUCGUGAGGUUUGCUGGAGAUAUCACAAGUGAGAAUGCUGACAUGAGUAACGAUAAAGCGGGUGAGAAACCCGCUCGCCGAAAAUCUAAGGUUUCCUUCGUUAAGCUAAUCUUCGAAGGGUUAGUCGGUACCUAAGGCGAGGCCGAAAGGCGUAGUCGAUGGAAAUCAGGUUAAUAUUCCUGAACCAGUGGGUGAGUGACGAAUUCCAUUAUCUUGUAUUUCCUUAUUGGAUUGGAAAUGCGGGGUUUGGGGUUCCAGGAAAUAGCCCCCACAUUAGGCCGUACCAAAACCAACACAGGUAGAUGGGUUGAGAAUACUAAGGCGCUUGAGAGAACUGUACUGAAGGAACUAGGCAAAUUGCAUCCGUAACUUUGGAAUAAGGAUGACCUAUCAUUGGGCAACCAAUGGUAGGUGGCACAGAAAUGGGGGUAGCGACUGUUUAUCUAAAACAUAGGGCUCUGCUAAAUCGUAAAGAUGAUGUAUAGGGUCUGACGCCUGCCCGGUGCUGGAAGGUUAAUUGAUGGGGUGCAAGCUCCUGAUCGAAGCCCCAGUAAACGGCGGCCGUAACUAUGACGGUCCUAAGGUAGCGAAAUUCCUUGUCGGGUAAGUUCCGACCCGCACGAAUGGCGUAACGACUUCCCCACUGUCUCCAGUACAGACUCAGUGAAAUUGAAUUUGCCGUUAAGAUGCGGUAUUCCUACGGUUAGACGGAAAGACCCCGUGCACCUUUACUAUAGCUUUGCAUUGAAUUUAAGACUAAAAUGUGUAGGAUAGGUGGGAGACUUUGAAGCUGGUUCGUCAGGAUCGGUGGAGUCACCCUUGAAAUACCACCCUUCUUAUUUUUAAAUUCUAACCAGAAUAUCUUAACGAUAUUUGGGACAUUGUAUGGUGGGUAGUUUGACUGGGGCGGUCGCCUCCUAAAGAGUAACGGAGGCGCGCAAUGGUAAGCUCAGACUGGUCGGAAAUCAGUUGUAGAGUGUAAUGGCACAAGCUUGCCUGACUGCGAGACGUACAAGUCGAGCAGAGACGAAAGUCGGUCAUAGUGAUCCGGUGGUUCUGCAUGGAAGGGCCAUCGCUCAACGGAUAAAAGGUACGCCGGGGAUAACAGGCUGAUGAUUCCCAAGAGUUCAUAUCGACGGAAUCGUUUGGCACCUCGAUGUCGACUCAUCACAUCCUGGGGCUGAAGAAGGUCCCAAGGGUUCGGCUGUUCGCCGAUUAAAGUGGUACGUGAGUUGGGUUCAGAACGUCGUGAGACAGUUCGGUCCCUAUCUGCCGUAGGUGUUUGGAAAAUUGAGAGGAGCUGACCCUAGUACGAGAGGACCGGGUUGGACGUACCAAUGGUGUUCCAGUUGUUCCGCCAGGGGCAUUGCUGGGUAGCUAAGUACGGACGGGAUAACCGCUGAAAGCAUCUAAGCGGGAAGCCUCCCUCAAAACUAAUUUUCCCCAUUAGGGUCGUGGUAGACUACCACGUUGAUAGGCUGGGUGUGUAAGCAUAGCAAUAUGUUUAGCUAACCAGUACUAAUAACCCGAUCGACUUUGUAUG
rnacentral:rRNA from 1 species